rnacentral:rRNA from 1 species
GUUGACCUCGGAUCAGUAGAACUACCCGCUGAACUUAAGCAUAUCAAUA